GUGAGGAAUAUUGCGCAAUGGAGGCAACUCUGACGCAGCCAUGCCGCGUGCAGGAAGAAGGCGCUACGCGUUGUAAACUGCUUUUAACCGGGAAGAAACCCCAGGACGUGUCCUGGGUUGACGGUACCGGAGGAAUAAGCACCGGCUAACUUCGUGCCAGCAGCCGCGGUAAUACGAAGGGUGCAAGCGUUAUCCGGAUUCAUUGGGUUUAAAGGGUGCGUAGGCGGAGCGUUAAGUCAGUGGUGAAAUCCUGCAGCUUAACUGUAGACGUGCAAUUGAUACUGGCGCUAUUGAGUGCACUUGAAGUGGGCGGAAUGUGCCGUGUAGCGGUGAAAUGCUUAGAUAUGGCACAGAACACCAAUUGCGAAGGCAGCUCACUAAGGCGAUACUGACGCUGAGGCACGAAAGCGUGGGGAUCGAACAGGAUUAGAUACCCUUGUAGUCC
rnacentral:rRNA from 1 species